rnacentral:rRNA from 1 species
AUGGAGAUCGAGCUCUGGCUGCUAUGGCCGACGCUCGCGGUCGUCUCGCUCCUCUACUGUCUGGCCAUCACGGCACGCACACGCCGUGCGGGCACGGGGCGGAUGCCACCGGGUCCCACGCCGCUCCCUCUCGUCGGCAACAUGCUCAGCCUCGUCGGCAACCUCCACCACACCCUCGCGCGCCUCGCUCGCGCCUACGGCCCCGUCAUGACGCUCAAGCUUGGCCUCACCACCGCCGUGAUCGUGUCCUCGCGCGAUGCGGCUUGGGAGGCAUUGACGAAGCAUGACCGGCGGCUGGCUGCGCACGCCAUCCCAGACGCCGCACGCGCGCUCGGCCACUCCGACCGGUCCAUGAUAUGGCUGCCCAGCUCCGACCCGCUCUGGAAGAGCUUGCGCGGCAUCGUGGCCGCCAACGUCUUCUCCCCGCGCGCCCUCGCCGCGGCGCGCGCCGCCCGCGAGCGUAAGGUGCGCGACAUGGUGCAUCACUUCCGCGACCGCGCCGACACAGAGGUGGACGUCGGCCAGGCACUGUACGCUGGCGUGCUCAACGUCUUGUCGAACGCGCUCUGCUCUGUCGACGUGGUCGACAUGGGCGCCGCCGAGUCAGCGCAGGGCGUGCGGGAGCUCGUCGAGGAUCUCAUCGCGGUGAUUGCCAAGCCCAACAUCUCCGACCUCGUCCCUUGCCUUCGGUGGCUCGACCUGCAAGGAUGGCGUCGCUGGACGGCGAUACGCAUCGACAAAAUCGUCCGCCUGUUGGAUGACAUAAUCGACGGUCGUAUGGCAGCUGCUGCCAACACCUCCACGGAGGAGAAGCAUGGCGACUUCCUGGAGCUCUUCUCCACGGGCAAGAUCGCCCGCGACACCCUGACAGCCAUACUGUUCGACGUCUUCACGGCCGGAAGCGACACGAUGUCGCUCACCGUCGAGUGGGCAAUGGCGGAGCUGCUCAAGAACCCGGCCAUCAUGGCAAAGGUUCGCGCGGAGAUAGACGAUGCUCUUGGCGGCAAGGAGACCAUCGGCGAGAACGACGCGGCGGGCUUGCCGUACCUCCAGGCCGUGGUGAAGGAGGCCAUGCGACUGCACCCGGUGGUGCCGAUACUGCUGCCCCGCCGGGCCGUGGAGGACGGCGUGGAGAUCGGCGGCUACGCCGUGCCCAAGGGCUCGACGGUCAUCUUCAACGCGUGGGCGAUGAUGCGGGACCCGGCGGCGUGGGAGAGGCCCGACGAGUUCAUCCCGGAGAGGUUCCUGGGCAAGGCGGACCAGGUGGUGGACUUCCGGGGUAAGGCCUUCGAGUUCAUCCCGUUUGGGUCCGGCCGGAGGCUGUGCCCCGGCGUGCCGAUGGCGGAGCGCGUGGUGCCGUUCAUCCUGGCCUCGCUGCUGCACGCGUUCGAGUGGCGGCUACCGGACGGCGGUUCCGCGGCGGAGUUGGACGUGAGCGAGAGAUUUACCACUGCAAAUGUGAUGGCUGUCCCACUCAAGGCCGUGCCCGUCGUGGUGCACAUCUCUGCACGUAACGGUUUUCUUCAGCAAAAUUCGUCACGGGAGGACAUGUCAACGUGA